GUCAGGUGCUUAUUUUAACCUUAUCUGUGGCCAUGCUGUGGACCAGAUGGCUGGCUGGUAUAAGCCGGCAUAACUCCAUUGACCUCAGUGGAUUAACACCGGCUGAGCAUCUGGGCUGGAAACCUCUUUAGAAACAGGCUGUCUUGUCAGAGUCCUGCUGCUUCAGCUUCUUGCUGGGAAACACAGUGAGAACUGCUUCUCCCAAGGCCUGACUCCUGUUUCCUGAAUGCCAGAUUCACACCUCUGUAAGGCCAAGGACUGAAAUGAGGUGACUCCGGCAUUACGCCCUGGGAGAUGGAUGGGAAAUCACAGAGCUCCUCCCCUCUGAGCCAUUGUUUGUAUUGUGGACUCCCAUUGGUAACGUGAAAUUUGAAGACUUCCAGACCAGUCGACAGAUGCAGUUGGGAAUGUGUCUUGAAACAGCUGCUUUCACCAAGAGAUUUCACUGUGGCUUACAGAGGAAG